CAAAUAAAUUAAAUAUUAAUUUUUUUAUGAUAUUUUUUAUUUUUUUAUAAGACGAGAAAGAUCCUAACCAUUCUUUAACAAAGAUAGUUAAGAAAAUUUUCUUUAGUAGGUUAAGAAAUUAGUUUAUUUUUUUUCUUUAGUUAUUUUCUAAAACUAUCUCCUAACCGUCAUCCAUUCCACCCCUUCUCUUCCUUCUCCUCACCUAAGUUUCAUG
rnacentral:lncRNA from 1 species